UACGGGGGGGGCAAGCGUUGUUCGGAAUUACUGGGCGUAAAGGGCUCGUAGGCGGCCAACUAAGCCAGACGUGAAAUCCCUCGGCUUAACCGGGGAACUGCGUCUGAUACUGGAUGGCUCGAGUUUGGGAGAGGGAUGCGGAAUUCCAGGUGUAGCGGUGAAAUGCGUAGAUAUCUGGAGGAACACCGGUGGCGAAGGCGGCAUCCUGGACCAACACUGACGCUGAUGAGCGAAAGCGUGGGGAGCAAACAGG
rnacentral:rRNA from 1 species